AAAGCUAAACCAAUUUCAUUUUAACAGCAAUUUGAGUUACUCCACCAAACACUAGUCAGAGAUCCUAAUUAAUACUAAGUGUUUCUUUUAGAAAAAGGGACUUUUGAAAAAAAGAAAAAGGGCCUUUUGAAAAAACUAAACCAAUUUCAAUUUGAGUUGCUCCACUAAGCACUAAAAUUUUGCAACAGGUAUAUUAGCUCUUUCAUGAUUUUUGUUUUAUUUGAACCUCUGCUUCAACAUGAGUCCACCAAGCACUACAUAUCAUUAGUAAUAGAAAUAAUUACAAAUGUCCUUUUAGAUUAAACAUAAACUGCACUAACAUCCUUUAAUUUUUAAAAAUAUACACUAUCAUCCAUCCUUUAAUUUUUAAAAAAUACACUUUCAUCCCUCGAGUACUAAAUUUCAUUAAUAGUAGGGGUAAUUACCAGUGCCCCUUAGGUGAGACAUAAUCUAUACUCGCGUCCUUUAGUUUUUAAAAAUAUACACUUUCUUCUCUCAUUUUUAUAUGUCGUUCAUCGUUCUCAUGAUACGAUCUGUGGCUAUUGAUCGGCGAUAGGGAAUAAGUAGGCAUAAAGCCACCGAAACCCCAUAGCAAGCAUGACUAAUCACUAACUCAAUGAAAUUAUAAAACUAUUUCAUUACUAAUUUUUGACCACCCAAAUACUAUAUAUAUUUAAAUCAAUCUGUCAGCACAAUUAGGUAAUAUGUCAUCGGUUGGUUACAUGCUAAAACAAAAUAAUAAGUUUUAAAAUCACUAUUGCGAAGAAUCUAGAAUUCUAAUAAUCAGACAUAUAAACAAAAAUUAAUUACAUUAAACCCGAAAAUAAAGGAAGUCGGGCUGUCAAAGGAAAAGAAAUGCGAAAAACCUAACAGACACCUGAAAAAUAAAAUUUGAGACUGUCAGUCUCGACAGUGAGUUAAAAUCAUGUAAUCCAAAAAUAAAUACAACUAUCUUAAUAGAAUAUUUAUUUAAUAAAAAAAAUUAUAUUAUAUUAAAACGCGUGUCAUGUCAUGAUUUUAAAAAAUACAAUUUAAACGUUUAUGGGACGAGUACCUUAGCAGAAGCUUAAACUCCAAUUCUAUUAGUGAUUCGGCUCUAUUAUUCCAAUAAGACUAAUUCUCAGAUAGCAAAACUUGACAAGGAUCCUUAACUCCAGUCUGGUCAAUUAAUUUCCAAUAUAACCGGCACCUAGAGAGCAAUGCUCGACCAAGGACCUUUUCUCCGGUAAUCAAAUUUUCAUAAGCUCAGAGAGCUAUGCUCGACCAAGAUACAUCACAAGAAUAUUUUCCUAUUACCCGGUCUGAUAUACGAUGAUACGCACACGGUCCUGAUGCAACCCAUUAAAUAGUAUGUUCUACUAUCGUCUCAUCUCGAGUCAUGAUACAACCAUAACAUUAAUAAUGUGAAAAAUGGCAUAAAUCGCACACAAUCUUAAUAUUAUUCAAUAAUUUAUUAAGUAUUAGAAUCAAAUGGCAUUGAGUAUAGCAGAUAUAAAGAUUAAAUGCAGUACUAUCAAUAAUAAUAAUAAUAAUAAUAAUAAAUAUAAUGGUAAAAAUAAUAAUAAUGAAAAUAUCAAUAACGAAAAUAAAAUUAAUAAUAAUAAUAAUUAUAAUAAUAAUUAAUAAAAAAUAUUAUAUUUAAAUUAGACAUGACAUAUGUCCGGUGAUUAUAUAAUUUUAACUCACAAAUAUGAUGUUUUCUUAUGCACCGUCCACACGUCCAAUGUAGUUAGAUUAGACAAAGAAUCUAAAAUCUACAAGUAAUAAUUAAUAUUUUUUUUCAUACUAUAUAAAAUAGUCAACCUAAUUCUAGACUUUUAAAAAAUUACAGGUUGAUCCUAUGAAAAUUCCGCUUAACAACAUUGAUAGGUGAUAACAAAAUUUUAUCCAAAAUUAUGACUCAAGAGCCUCUAAUAUAAUACUAUAAUCAUAAAUUAUUAUUCUUAAAUUAGUAUCAUAAAUUUUUCGAUUUUGUAUAAAAUAAUAAUAAUAAUAAUUAAAUUAAUACUUCAAAAAUAAUAAACCGCUAACAGAAUUUUCUAACUUUAAUAAUUAAAUCAAUAAAUUAAAUCUUCAUAAUUAAUUCUUAAUCAAACUCAAUUUAAUCUCUAUUUAUCAAUUUAUCACUAAUUAUUCAUAAUUAAUUAUAACGAUUUCUAAUUAUUAAAUAACUAUGUAAAAUAUAAAUAUAAAUAAUUAACUAAUUUACUAUACUGAGCUGAGAAAUUAAUACAGAAUAGCAACCCAAACGUCUGAAAAUAAAAUCAGAAUUUCACCCGUCGGCACGCAUCUCGAGGUCACCGGGCCUGAUCGCCUAAAUAUUUUCAAAGGCGAUGAAAAUUUGAUCCGAGCACACCAAAGGAAAGCCCACAAUCUCAGAAGUCCAGAUGUACAAUUAUUUUUACCAAAAAGUGGCUGAAAAGUUUUAUAUCGCCAUUUAAAGUUUUAACACUGGCGAGCUUGAUCAACGGUGAAAUGGAGGAGAUCGGAGCUGAGCUUCACUGUUCUAAGGUUUUUCGACAUGAGGAACUCAUUUUUGGGGUCUGAUCGGCCAAAGGAGGUAGGCAAGAUGUUAAAUCAGCAAUGGCAACAGUGAGAGAUGUUUUCUCCCUCUUUGAAGCACGCGAAACGACAACUCUUGAUGUUGCUUGGCGCCGGCGAGGGGUGGAGCGAGACAAUGAUGGCCUCAAAUGGAUAUUAGAUGGUAAAAGGGGGCUGAUUGUCGGUGAAUGAGUGAAGAAAUUGGUGGUGGCAAUGGUGUAUGACGCUAGAGAAGGAGUGAGGUAGGAGGAAGGCCAAGCUGAAAUUUUUCUUUUUUUCCAAAUUUUAUUUUUGUCCUUCCUUAUAAAAAAACAGGCUAUAGUAACCUUAUUUCUUAUAUAUAUAUAUAUAAUUUACCAAUUGGGGGUUAAAAUGGUAAUUCGUAACUUUGUGUUAAUUAAACAAUAAAUUAUUAACUUCAAAUACGUAGGUCACUGCAAAUAUAU
rnacentral:lncRNA from 1 species